AGAACUGGGAGGCUUCAAAGUUGGACCUGGCUCCCAUCUUAAAUGUAGAGACUGUUUAGGUAAAACUGAAGAUAUUAAAACAAAGUUUCGAGAAGACCAGUUUGUUCUACGUACUGCAGAUGAGCAUGAUGAUCAGUGUGACGAGAUUGAUGAAGAUCCUACUUUGGCUUCAACUUAUGGCAUAAAUUUCCGCUCAGCUUUGUGCCAGUCCAGGUACUUCCAUGUCAUUGGUGGAUUACCAGGUGACUCAAUGCAUGACAUAUUGGAAGGUUGCCUUCAGUAUGAGGCUAAAGAGCUUUUGAAGUACCUAAUUCAGGAGCGGAAAUAUUUCAAUCUUCAAUACCUGAAUUCCAGUCUGGAGAGUUUCGAUUUCGGAUACCAAAAUGAGAAGAAUAAACCAUCGGUGAUUUCAGAUGCAACCCUGAAUUCAGAUAGCAACAAUCUUCAUCAAAAAGCAUCUCAGAUGUGGUGCCUGGGUAGAUUUUUACCGAUGAUUGUUGGAG